rnacentral:lncRNA from 1 species
UUCUGGGAUUUGUAGUUUAAACUCUGUUUCUGUUCGCUCUCCUAACGUACGUUUUUACCUUCUAAAACUACAUUUUCCAUACUAAAGUCAGAUAGGAGCGUGUGCAAAACAAGCCAAUGCGUUUAGGGAUUGUAGUUCGUCUCAGGCUCAAACUGCAGGUUUCAAUGGACAAAACAGACUACAAUUCCCAAGUUACCUGGUAUCGUUGUAAAAUCCAUCGGAUUUUCUACGCAACCACGUACAUCGGUGAAUCUGAAAGGUUGUUAAAUUCUGCGAUAGAAGAAACACCGCAAAAAUAUAUAUUAGGUUUACUGGGAAGACAUGGAAAUGAUCGAGACGAUUGUGAUACCAAAUACUGAGGUGGAAUCAAAGGAAACAGUUGUGUCUAGCGGGGACACCGAUAAAAACAAAGCGGAGUUUAUUUGGACCCUGCAGGCUACAUGGCACCUGGUCAAUACCCGGUUAGGAAUGGACCAGGCCUUUGACCAGCCAGUAUGCAAGAAAAAGAAACUGUGGGAACUGGUGGCAGAGAAGGUGAAUGCUAAGCUGCUGGAGUCAGGGCUCACUGACAUCAGUGUGAAGGCUUACGAGUGUGACCUCAAGUGGAGAAACAUGCUGGCCACAUACAGGAAGAACACAGAGCGGGCCAAGAGACUGGGAGUCACCAGUGUCCACUGGGAGUUCUUUAAAGCCAUGCAUGACGUGUUGGGUAAAAGCAGGGAAGAGAUCGAAGCCCAGCAUCAGGCCAAGCUCAGUGGGACCAGAGUGGGCAAGGCCAUAGCCAGCAAGAGGUUCACCCCAAUCCUGCCUACGCCUCCGGCAACAGCAGCCACCGUCUGCCCCGCCAGACCUCCUCAGGAUGUCCUGCAGUUGUACAUGGAGCUGCAGGAGAGGAAGCUGAACAUGUGGGCACAGCAGAAAGCACUGGAGGAGAGGAAAAUAGACGCCAUUAACAAUCUAGCUCAAGCUAUCGCCAGUCUGGCUCAGAUGAACAGUGCGCCAACGUCAAAGGAUGGGCACUAG